UUUGUCGGGUUAGUUUUUCUCUGUUUUACAACCAAUUAAGCUAGUUAUAACAAAUCAUAUGCUUAAUAAAUGUUUAGUAGUCAAUCACUAAGGUUGAUGGUAUCAUUUGAUAAUUUGGAAUAUGCAUAUAUGUAGUAUUGGUUGUAAUGUUGAAAAUUUUCUUUUCAGCCACCAAACAUAAGCUGUAUAAUUCAGUGUUUUGGCCGUAUUUGUAAGAAAUUCGAUGAAAAAAAAACAAGGUGGGUGACAGAGUGGGGUUUGGGGGACUCUUACAUUUUGUUUCAGAUAUGCAAUUACCCAGGCAAUUGGCGUAUUAGAUCAUUGGCGUAUUGGGCGAGUGUUUUCGUUUUCUAAGAAUCAAGUUCGUUAGAUAUUAGGAAUCCCUAAUGGUCGUAAGAUAGUGCCAAGUUCAAAAAUGAUGAAUUCCUCAGUUCGUGGGAAAGUACAACAAGUGUUACUAAGAUACGGUAGUUCAUGGCUGAACAAAAGUAGUAGAGGUUGUGAGAGUGUUUAUACAUCCGUAGGCAUUCAGGUCACUACACAAAUGAUGGAGAGAUUAGAGGGUAUAUUUGGUGAUGAUGAGGAAGAAGAAUUUAAAACGUUGUACACUUCAUAUGAUACUGUGUCCUACCCAAUCAUCCCGACUCGCCUCAGAUUUAUUCCCGGCUCUAAUUUGUGUGAUGGAUUGUGCUAAUUAUGACUGGUGUGACUUGGUUUUGAACAAAAUGAUGGAAAGUAUAACUAGCUUUGCCCGACGGUUUUAUGCUAAUGGAUUUGCUGGUGGAUGCGAUGGGUGUGCGAUGUUUCAUAUUAUAUUUUACCUAGAUCGUCUCGAUAGGAAUCCCGUUCAAUGGGGUGUGUUUCCUAGGAUCAAGGUGUGGACAAUGCGGCAAAUUAGAAAGGCAGCCAAGGAGGAUCGCACACAAUUAGGUGCUUUGGGAGGCUAGGGUUGCUAGAUGUUGCCUAUGGUGAGCCUCAUUGUAGGAUUGCAAGGGACGUUGAUGCACCCUUGGAAAACGUGGUGCUUAAUGUGAGUAUCAUGUUUAAGUUUAUUUUUUUUGUUUGCUUUGUGCACCAUGGUUUGUAAAAUGAUUUGUGUUUGCUUUUGUGUGAUUGAUAUAUAUAUAUAUCCUCCUUCAUUGUCUCUACCAUAGAACAUAAACGGAGGAAAGUCUGUAAUGCUAUUGUUAUGCCCACUCGCAGUGCAAAGCGUGAAAAAAAGAAGUAACCUGGUGUUGAUGUGAGAUCCUUGUGAGGUCCAUAAUGUAUACAUGGAUGUUUGGUUAUUGUUUCAAAGUGUAAUCGAUUGUAGAAUUAUGAAACAGAUUUGUUUAUGUAACAGACAAAGUUGAGUUGUAUUUAAUUUGUAAACGGCAAAAGAGUUAAUCACAUACGAUUGAUUAAGUCUAGUAUGCAGGGGUUGUGAGUGUCUUAACUUAGGCAUCAUUUUUUUGGUGGUGUCGCAUAUCCAAUUUGUGAAUUUCCAUGGUUAUUUGGCAAUGAUUAUGGUGUGUCGUAUCCUAUGGAUAUGCAUGUUGUUCUAAGUACCCUCGCAAUCAUUGUGACUGAUAUGUAUAUGCAAUCCUUUUGGAGUAGUGUAUAACACACUAUAGUUCUUGAAUAUCAACACGAAUGGGGUGGGGUGAUGAACACCAACGUUUUUAAAAAAAAAAUUGAUAAAGAUAUUGUCCUAAAAAUUGAUAAAAAUUGAACACGGUAUAGUCCAUAAAGGACAACAAUCAUUGUACUGGGCUUAAAGAACAAAAAUGGAUUAAGGAAUAAUCAUUGGACGGGCUGGCACAGUUGGAACACA